AUUGAACGCUGGCGGCAUGCCUUACACAUGCAAGUCGAACGGCAGCACGGGGGCAACCCUGGUGGCGAGUGGCGAACGGGUGAGUAAUGCAUCGGAACGUGCCCAGUAGUGGGGGAUAACCAGUCGAAAGACUGGCUAAUACCGCAUACGACCCAAGGGUGAAAGCGGGGGACCGUAAGGCCUCGCGCUAUUGGAGCGGCCGAUGUCUGAUUAGCUAGUUGGCGGGGUAAGAGCCCACCAAGGCGACGAUCAGUAGCUGGUCUGAGAGGACGACCAGCCACACUGGGACUGAGACACGGCCCAGACUCCUACGGGAGGCAGCAGUGGGGAAUUUUGGACAAUGGGCGCAAGCCUGAUCCAGCCAUGCCGCGUGCGGGAAGAAGGUCUUCGGGUUGUAAACCGCUUUUGGCAGGAACGAAACGGCGCAAGCCAAUACCUUGCGCUAAUGACGGUACCUGCAGAAUAAGCACCGGCUAACUACGUGCCAGCCGCCGCAGUAAGAC
rnacentral:rRNA from 1 species